CUCACCUCGGCGCCGGGGCAGGCUGGUCCGGGCGGGCGAGGCGCAGGGCUCUCCCACACGUCGCGCCGCCAAUGGCAAGUUGGAGGGCGAGAUGCAAAUACCAGAUGAGGCCGCCGAGACCUAGGAAAUUAGCUGCUCUGGGUCAUCCAGGAGUGAGUGGCAAAGCUGAGACACAGAUCCCAAAGAGCGCUCCUUCCGCUGUGCUCCCCAGCUUCGGGAGGAAGAAACACGGGCAGGGAGUACUUACUGGAACCUGAAGAAGAAACACAGGGAGAAGGAAAACAAGUGGGCGAGGAAGGAGGGAAAAGGAAGGGGCUGAGGAAAAGUGAAGAGGAAAAGGGGUGAUCUCUUUGGGCAAGGAGGCUGGCAGCUCCAUCCUCUGUAUUCAGGAUAUUAUACAUAUUUAUUUAAGAAAACAUAUUCAUGUUCUGCUCCUAGAGAUGAGAGAAGUUACAAGCAGGGAAUGGAGGAAGAAACACAAUUUGGUCAGUGGAAGAAAAGCCUGGACUAGAUGGAAGCAGAACAGUAAAGCCAUCUGAGGAGUAACGAAGUUCCGAUGUGAACUCACACAUCAUACUCCCAGCACUUCUGUUGCACUGAUGGUUCCUGUUGACCCGUCUGUGUCCGCCACUAGGUUCUAAAGCCAUUGAGGGCAGGGACUGUAUGUUACUCAUCUUCUUAUCUCUGGGGCCUAUUGGCCCACGGCAUGCAGCAAGUUACGCAGUUAUGUUUGCUAGCUGACCAAUAAAUCCAUUUACGAAC